GGGCAUGUGGUGUAGUUGGUUAUCACGCUCGCUUAGCAUACGUCCUAGUCGUCUUUCGAUGUGAAGCUGCGAGAGGGGUCCGGUUCAAUCCCGGACAUGUCCA